rnacentral:lncRNA from 1 species
AUGUAUUCCCUUCUUCCCCCCAGAAAGAAAAAAAGGAUGAAAUGUUUGACGUUUACAUGGAGCAAGAUGUCAGGGCCCUUUCCCACCCACAUGGAAGAGGCUUUUUGCCACGUUUUCAGGUUGGUUAAAUGCAAAGGAAGCCGCUGCUGCUUGACUGCUCACCUAUCCAGGGAGAAGGUGGACAGUAAGCAGUGCAUCUCCCAUCAUGACUGGGCACAGCCAGAUACCUUAUCUGUGCUCUUAUGGACCUUGAAGCCAGAGAACAGAAUGCUUGCCAUGUGA